rnacentral:rRNA from 1 species
AGAGUUUGAUCAUGGCUCAGAUUGAACGCUGGCGGCAUGCCUUACACAUGCAAGUCGAACGGCAGCGCGGACUUCGGUCUGGCGGCGAGUGGCGAACGGGUGAGUAAUACAUCGGAACGUACCCUGUUGUGGGGGAUAACUAGUCGAAAGAUUAGCUAAUACCGCAUACGACCUGAGGGUGAAAGUGGGGACCGCAAGGCCUCACGCAGCAGGAGCGGCCGAUGUCUGAUUAGCUAGUUGGUGGGGUAAAGGCCCACCAAGGCGACGAUCAGUAGCUGGUCUGAGAGGACGAUCAGCCACACUGGGACUGAGACACGGCCCAGACUCCUACGGGAGGCAGCAGUGGGGAAUUUUGGACAAUGGGGGCAACCCUGAUCCAGCAAUGCCGCGUGUGUGAAGAAGGCCUUCGGGUUGUAAAGCACUUUUGUCCGGAAAGAAAUCGCGCUGGUUAAUACCUGGCGUGGAUGACGGUACCGGAAGAAUAAGCACCGGCUAACUACGUG